rnacentral:rRNA from 1 species
GAUGAACGCUGGCGGCGUGCCUAAUACAUGCAAGUCGAGCGAACGGACGAGAAGCUUGCUUCUCUGAUGUUAGCGGCGGACGGGUGAGUAACACGUGGAUAACCUACCUAUAAGACUGGGAUAACUUCGGGAAACCGGAGCUAAUACCGGAUAAUAUUUUGAACCGCAUGGUUCAAAAGUGAAAGACGGUCUUGCUGUCACUUAUAGAUGGAUCCGCGCUGCAUUAGCUAGUUGGUAAGGUAACGGCUUACCAAGGCAACGAUGCAUAGCCGACCUGAGAGGGUGAUCGGCCACACUGGACAUGAGACACGGUCCAGACGCCUACGGGAGGCAGCAGUAGGGAAUCUUCCGCAAUGGGCGAAAGCCUGACGGAGCAACGCCGCGUGAGUGAUGAAGGUCUUCGGAUCGUAAAACUCUGUUAUUAGGGAAGAACAUAUGUGUAAGUAACUGUGCACAUCUUGACGGUACCUAAUCAGAAAGCCACGGCUAACUACGUG